rnacentral:rRNA from 1 species
UUCUGGCUAGAAUCUUAUUAUUAACUAGUAUUAUAUACACUCAAGUGUGCUCUUAAAGAGAAAAAUGUAGUAAUAAACAUUAAUUAUUAGAAUAUCUAGAAUUAGCUAAGUUAAUAGAGUCGGCAAAAAUCGUGCCAGCCGCCGCGGUUAUACGAAGGACUCGAAUAAGAUAUAUUGGCGGAAUGUAGAAAAACGAUAAUUUAGUAAUAUUUUGAUAGAAACAGUUAAAAGUGAAAUUUUCAAAUGAAUUAGUAAAAGAUAUUAAAGAUAUAUUUUUUCCUGCACAAAUGAGAAAAUAAACUAGGAUUAGAUACCCUACUAUUCUCAUUAUAAUUCGCUCGGGUAGUAAAAGAGAAUCUUCAAACCCAAAGAAUUUGACGGCACCCCAUCUUACCAGAGGAACCUGCCCCAUAAUCGAUAAUCCACGCUACAACUUACUUUUUCUAAUGAAGCUUGUAUACCGCCGUUGCCAGAUAAUUUUUAAAAAAUAUUAUCUAAAAUAAAAUUUUUAAGGACUUCAGGUCAAGGUGCAGCUUAUGAAAAAGAGGAGGUGGGUUACAAUAACUUUUAAUUAUACGGAAAGUAAAUGUAAAAAAACUAGAAGGUGGAUUUGGCAGUAAGUGUCGUUUAGCAAAGAACACUGAAAAAAGCUCUGGGGUGUGUACACAUCGCCCG